UUCCAGUGGAGUUUACAUCAUCUACAACACCAGUUGCUUUUCUGUUACAUCCCAUUAACUUUAAGAGAAGCUGCCAGACUUGCUUCUACCAAGCAAAUGAUGUCUCCUUGUCCUCUUCUUUCUCUCUGGGAGACUUGAACCUCUGGCUGAUAUUCGUCCCUCUGUUUCUGC